UCAGUUUUCGAUUAAAUUAAAAAUUAUUAAAAUCGGUACACCCAGUAAAAAGUUAUUGCGGAUUUUCAAGAGUUUCCCUCGAUUUCUCUGGGAUCCCAUCAUCAGAUCCUGGUUUCCUUAUCAUGGUACUAAACUUGGGAUAUCUCCUUUCCAACAAAAAAAGAAUUAUCAAAAUCGGUACAUCCAGUAGAAAGUUAUGCGGUAUAAUACAACGUAGGUCGACGAAAAAAGCGUCAAGUAAAAACGCAUUAUUAGAUAUAACUCGAAAAGUAGUUGUUAGAUCUCAGAUAAAUUUAAAUGG
rnacentral:misc_RNA from 1 species